rnacentral:rRNA from 1 species
CCUACGGGGCGCAGCAGUGAGGAAUAUUGGUCAAUGGGCGGGAGCCUGAACCAGCCAAGUCGCGUGAGGGAAGACGGUCCUAUGGAUUGUAAACCUCUUUAGGCGGGGAGCAAUGCCGGGCACGUGUGCCCGGAGGGAGAGUACCCGCAGAAUAAGCAUCGGCUAACUCCGUGCCAGCAGCCGCGGUAAUACGGAGGAUGCGAGCGUUAUCCGGAUUUAUUGGGUUUAAAGGGUGCGUAGGCGGAUCGUUAAGUCAGUGGUCAAAUUGAGGGGCUCAACCCCUUCCCGCCAUUGAAACUGGCGCU